rnacentral:rRNA from 1 species
AGGAUGAACGCUGGCGGCGUGCUUAACACAUGCAAGUCGAACGAUGAAGGCUGGAGCUUGCUCUGGCUGGAUUAGUGGCGAACGGGUGAGUAACACGUGAGUAACCUGCCCCAGACUCUGGGAUAAGCGCUGGAAACGGCGUCUAAUACCGGAUACGAGCUUCCACCGCAUGGUGAGGAGCUGGAAAGAAUUUCGGUCUGGGAUGGACUCGCGGCCUAUCAGCUUGUUGGUGAGGUAUGGCUCACCGAAGGCCGACGACGGGUA